rnacentral:tRNA from 2 species
GUUAGGGUGGCAGAGCCCGGUAAUUGCAAAAGGUCUAAACCCUUCCGACAGAGGUUCAAAUCCUCUCCCCAACU